ACCACCCCUCUCCUCCAGCCUAUGGACCAGGGAGCUAUCUCAGCAUUCAAGGCAUGCUAUUUGCAUGCAAUAUUUGCCAAAGCAAUAGCCGCAAUGGAGGAUGAUAGGAUAAGCUUGCGCGAGUUUUGGAAAGGCUACAAUAUCCUCCAUGCUAUUGAAAACAUUGCAGCUGCAUGGCAGAAUGUUAGUGUGAAGUGCAUGCAAGGGAUUUGGAAAAAGUGUUUGAAACCUUUUGCUGUUGUAAAUGAUUUUGAAGGAUUUGACCACAAUGAAAAUGUGGACGAAAUAAAUAAGAAAACUUUGACACUAAUGAAAUCCCUUGAUUUAGAGGUUGAUGCUGAAGAUGUGAGAAAUUUGGUAUCCUACACUGAGGGAGAGCUUUCAAACGAAGAUUUAAUUGAACUGAAAGAAGAAUUGGAAGCACAACGGCUACUGGAAGAAGAAGGAAAAGAACAAGAAAAAGAAGGAAAAAAAAAUGUAGAAGUUAAGCCCAAAAUAUUCAGUGCGAAAAGAUUGGCUGGUGUUUUCUCAUGCGUUAACAAAAUUUUAUCAGAAUUAGAAAGUAUGGAUCCAAAUGUAGAACGUUUUAGAACGGUACAUUGGGAAAUGCAUGAAAUCUUAAAGUGUUAUCGUGAAAUAUAUGAAGGAAAAAAGAAAAAAAGAAAAAAAUCUCCAACUCCAUUUCCCUCCCUAUUUCCCUCCCCAUCCACUGGAAUAAAACACCGAAAUGAUUCUCAGCCGUCAACCAGCUAUGCCAGUGUAUCUGAAGUUUCUGAAAACACACAAAAAAAUGAACCUUUCAAAGGAUUUAUAUCGAAUUUGAUGUUUACAGGCAUUCCAACGGAUACGAUGCUAAAAUCUCCGAAAUUGGAGGAAGAGGCCUUGGACAUUGUGAGGAUGAAGUUUCCUCUGGAGAUAAAGCAAGAGAAUGAUGGGGAAGCUAACUAACUAGAUUGAUCAGGAAUGAAGGAUUCUUGGAGCUGAAGUGUGGACAUCUAGGGAAGGUUGAGCUUAACUGUAAUGUGAUUUGUUCGGCUUAGUAUGUUGCAUGGACCCAGCAAUGAUGAAUACAAUGGACAUGGGCCAAUCCAUAAGGAGAAGACCUUCCAGGUGGGAAGAUCUGAAGAAAUAAACACUUGCAAGAGUUUGGAAUAAAUCAAAAGAUAAUUUUUCUGGGGUUCCAGGAUUAAAAGUAAACCAGUAAAUCCAAGGGAGCACAAAGGCAUUCACAAAAGAAAGCCAGUGAAGCUUUCCUGCCUGAAGGUGAUCAAAACUUAAAUGAAGCCAAUUUUCACUGUGGCAAAAAGGGUGGAAUUAAGAGGAGCCAGAGAUGAUGUCCAACCAUCAGUGUUCCAGAUACUCCACAUGUGCAAGCAAAGGAUAAAUUGCAUAAAUAUGAGAAAAAUAACAGCAAACCCUCUGUUAUUCAAAAGGGGAGCACUCUGUCGGCAAGAAAAAAGUAUAUACGCACAGAGUGCGGGAAACGUUUUGAUUGGAAAACAAACCUCGUGAAGCUCAAGAGAAUUCACAUGGGUGAGAAGCCCCAUAAGCACUCCUGUUGUGGGAUAAGCUUCCAUAAGAAAUCCAACCUGGUGGUUCAUAGGCAGAUUCAUACCAGGGAGAAACCAUACGGAUGCUCACUGUGUGAAAAAAGAUUCUGUAGUUCUUCCAUGCUUUAUAAACACAUAAAAAUCUAUCCAGGAGGGACAUCCUAGAGGGCAGGCAACAUACAGUCUCAGAGAUUGUGGAAAACAUCCAGAGAUGCUACUAGUACUGGAGUGAAACAGCAGGCAGGUGAGAAUCAAGCACAAUGGCUGUUGCUGGCUUUUAGAAAUACUGACACAUUAAAAUGUUAUAAAGAA